rnacentral:rRNA from 1 species
GGAUUAGAUACCCUGGUAGUCCACGCCGUAAACGAUGAGAACUAGAUGUCGGGAGGGUUGCCUUUCGGUGUCGCAGCUAACGCAUUAAGUUCUCCGCCUGGGGAGUACGGUCGCAAGACUGAAACUCAAAGGAAUUGACGGGGACCCGCACAAGCGGUGGAGCAUGUGGUUUAAUUCGAUGCAACGCGAAGAACCUUACCUGCCCUUGACAUACAGCGAACUUUCCAGAGAUGGAUUGGUGCCUUCGGGAACGCUGAUACAGGUGCUGCAUGGCUGUCGUCAGCUCGUGCCG